ACAUUCUGAUCUAGAUGUCAAGAUCAAGCAUCAAUACUCAAAGGUCAGAAUUUGACAGCUGGAAAAAGCUAUAAAGAUAUAUCAACUAACACUUACUAACUGGUUUUAAUCAGAAAAAAAAAUUCACCAGCUGGUCAGUUCAACUCAUCAAAUCAAACAGAGAUGCAUAUUGUUCAUUGGAUGGAAUCAUUUUCAACUCAUUUCAAACAAUUGCUUAGAUUGGAUAAUUGGAUUUAUAGGAAAGUGGGCCAAAAAAUAGUGAACUUGGGAAAGUAGAGAAUCAUACAGAAAACAAAAUGCUGGUUGAUUUAAGAUCCACUCUUUCAUCAUAUUCACCGAAGCAAGAGAGGUCAUACAGCUGCUCAACAUAAUGAAGAUACAACUUACUAAGGACAUCAACAUUUUGUUCUCUGCGUCAUCAUUCAAAGCUGCACAUAGGAGAUAGGAGGAGGCAGUUGCUGUGAUUAGAUGGAAUGUCGCAGUGCUGUGACCUGUAAAUUGUGAUCAAUUAACCAUGAUUAAUAUUUCAGCGUUAGAAGUAAUCAUAAUUGUAAGAACCUUAAAUUUUUAUUUAAAUCCAAAACAAAACAAGAGAAAACAUCAAACCAGACUUUCAUAAAAACAAAACAAGAGAAAGGAAUGCCGAUAGAUCGAUGUCGACAUCAAACCAGUUGAGAUUAAAGUAAGAAUGAUUUUUAGCAUCUACUUUCACUCAAACAGUAAAACGAGAAUUAAAUAUUGAGAACAAGUGAACAACAUUAAAACAGAAACCACUAAGGUGUACAGCAUGCCCAUUCAAACAGCAACGGAAUUAGAUUUAGGGGCUUAUCAUGCUAGCUUUUAUUACCCAAGACAAAAGGAAAUAUGAAUAAUCUACAAGAGCCAUUCCCAAUCUACACAUCACUAUUAUCAAAAUCCAGUUGGAGAAAGUGCAGGAGAAGAGCAAGUGAUCAACGCCCAUCAAAACCUUGUAAAGAAGGCAAGUCACUUCUAAAUUCUAAAAAAGCUGGCAAGCCUACCACAUUAUCAACUUAUCCAAGCAAAAUCCACUACAUAAGAAUCGAGAGGCUAUUUAGUUCUGGUAUGUUCCAAAACUUUCUUGAAAGAGCAUGGUCUACGGUAAGCAUACCAAGAUCAAUUACCACUGUUGUCAUCUCUAAAGAAAGGAAUUUUAGUUUUCUCCUGUAAUCUAGGAAUUUAGAUCAAAUAAAAGGGUCAAUACCAUUAUUUUCACACAGGUAUUUUAAAGAAGAUGAAUAAAUUAUCUUUUCCUUAUCCAUUGACUCUAGAUAGAACUAUUGAAACUUGAAAGUGACAAGCCUAUAAAAUAUCUUGAGCAUUCUAAGCAUUUCAAUCCGGACAUUAACUCCAAAAUGUUUCUCAAUCAGUCAAUCAUAAAUUAGUCACAUGAUUUAACUAUCAUUUCCUAGGUCCCUAAGUGAAAAAAGAUAGCAGACAGGGGGACUUACAAAUGAAAGAAGCCCAAAUUUGAAAUAAGAUUAGCGACAGACCAGUAUAUAGUUUAAAAGACAGCAAAGUGCUUUCUCCAUCCCAGAUCGCUAUAGCGUUUUCAGCAUUUUCAGAAAAUCAGUGCAUUUUUUAGCUGGAGACAACCUCUGUUUGACACUUUGACUAUAGAACAAUAGGUGAAAGAAGGUUUAGAAAUGAGAGCAUCAAGGAUUUUGUUUAUCCUCCCCUAAUAUUUAAAUCAAGCAUCCUUAAUUCCUUAUUCAGGUAAUUAGGUAAAGAAACGUGAUUUUUUUCGCUAGAUCACUAUACUGUAGCGAUUAGCAAUAUCUUUUAAACUAUGGACCAAGGUUUUAAUUCCACCCUAGGUUUAAAAAGCACGUGCCUAAUGUAUGCUUAAGCAAAUCCUGGUCUAAAUCCACCAUAAGUUAAAAAUAAAAAAUGCCUUAAGAAAGCAACACAAAGAAAGAAGUCACGAUUUUUAUUCUUGCUCCGCACCUACUAUUGGGAUUUCCAAGCGACUAACAUCUAAUUUAACUUCUAGAAACUCCAGUGAUGUCCAGUACCGGCCACCAUUGUUCUCAACCAUUCUUGCACUUUCUUUUAUACUUAACUUCCAGAAACUUAAUGUUAUAAGAAAUGAAGUUACGAAUCGAUAUGUAUAAAAUAAGAAUAUGAAAAAUACCCAUGGACCAUGGUGCAUCUAGGCACAGUCAACGGGAGGGAGUGAUCCGGUAGGAUUAGCCAUAGAGUUGAAAACGAUAGUAAAAUAGAGAAGAGAUAAAAUGAAGAAGAUGAG
rnacentral:lncRNA from 1 species